GACCCAGUGGCGGAAGGUAUCGCGCCUGCUUAUCGUAAGCAAAUGCCCAGGAUAAUAAUUUGAGCGGGAGCUCCUGGUUCGAAUCCAGGCUGGGUCG